UACGGAGGGGGCUAGCGUUGCUCGGAAUGACUGGGCGUAAAGGGCGCGUAGGCGGAGUGCUUUGUCGGGCGUGAAAUUCCAGGGCUUAACCUUGGGGCUGCGUUCGAGACGGGCAUUCUAGAGUUUGGAAGAGGGUCGUGGAAUUCCCAGUGUAGAGGUGAAAUUCGUAGAUAUUGGGAAGAACACCGGUGGCGAAGGCGGCGACCUGGUCCUUGACUGACGCUGAGGCGCGAAAGCGUGGGGAGCAAACAGG
rnacentral:rRNA from 1 species